rnacentral:tmRNA from 1 species
GGGGCCGACUUUGGAUUUGACAGCAGGAGAAAUAGUUAAGUAAGCAUGUCGAGUGUUGGGAGUACUCUCGUAAAUCAGAAUUUCCAAGUCUAUAAACGACAAUAACAACUACGCGCUUGCAGCUUAAUCACUAGUGAUUAAACUUAAUCCUCUGGUAAGACCAGUUGGACAAGCUGCCCAGCUUUGACUACCUGUUCAGCGGUUAAAGUAAUUGGGUACCGUUGGCCUGAACUAAGUGAUGUAAAGUCUUGGUGCAUCAACUAAAAUUUAAGAGACUAAGAAUAGGUUAGGGUGUUUGUGCUCAGAUUUAUUUCGAAAACCAAUCACAAAAUAAACAUGUAGAAAUCUUAGUUGUUCCUUGUUUGGACGAGGGUUCGAAACCCUCCGGCUCCACUU